UUUGAUUUUAACGUUACUGUUUCCAUGUUCGCUGUGAGACUCUGCACUACACACACAGUGUGGAUGAAGCCCAGGGGACAACCGCACGGCCUUUAGGUCGAGAUACUACUUCCUUUUCCUGCCCUGGAUCUGACAUGGAGUACGAGGGUGUCGACGGCCAAAUGUUAGCGUCUAACACAGACACCGAAUCGCAACCUGGGUGCUCGUGGGGGGCCGGUGCUCGACCGCCUGGACUCACAUCCCGCCGUUGGCCCGACAGCUUCGUCUUGUUUAAUGGCCUUUUUACUGCAGUCAAGAAGCCGGGGGCACCUGGGGGCUCAGGCGGUUGAGCG